rnacentral:rRNA from 1 species
ACGUAGGGGGCAAGCGUAGCUCGGAAUUACUGGGCGUAAAGGGUGUGUAGGUGGCUGAUUAAGUUAAGGAUGAAAUCCCGAGGCUCAACUUCGGAACUGUCCUUGAUACUGGUCAGCUUGAGGCCAGUAAAGGAGGGUUGAAUUCCCGGUGAAUCGUUGAAAUACGUAGAAUUCGGGAAGAACAUCAGCGGCGCAGGCGUUUAACUUGCCUAGUCCUGACGCUGAGGCCCGUAAGCUAGUGGAUCAAACUG